ensembl:lncRNA novel transcript, antisense to MMP16
ACACACAGCCCGACACACACGCACGCGCGCUUCUUAAAGGAGACGGCUCAUAAAGGAUUCCCCACUACGCCAGCAGAGGGGAAGAGGAGCCCACGGGAAAGAAAAGCAGGCGAGGUUAAGAAUAAAGAGUGUUCCAGGUAUGACAGCUACCUCGGUGAGGUGGAAGAGAGAAUUGACAAGGCAAAUUUCAUGGGAUAGCACAGAAGCAGAGACUUUAAGUCUAAACAGACCUAGAUUCAGAGCCGACCCGAUGCUGCUUGAAGAAGGCUGGAGGUAUGUUAAGGAGACAAGGGCUGUCAAGAAGCAGGGAUGUCUCUGGAAAGGUUCCCCUUGCUGCUGCCAUGUGAAGAAGGACAUGUUUGCUUCCCCUUCUGCCAUCAUUACGGAGUCUCACUCUGUUGCCCAGGAUGGAGUGCAGCGGCGAGAUCUCGGCUCACUGCAAGCUCUGCCUCCCGGGUUCACGCCAUUCUCCUGCCUCAGCCUUCUGAGUAGCUGGGACUACAGGCGCCCGCCACCACGCCCGGCUAAUUUUAUGUAUUUUUAGUAGAGACAGGGUUUCACCAUCUCUAUCUCCUGACCUCUUGAUCUGCCCGCCUCCGCCUCCCAAAGUGCUGGGAUUACAGGCGUGAGCCACAGCGCCCGGCCCAAAAAUCCAUUCUUAAUGGCUUUCUCUUCUGAUGCAAAAUCCUGAUUGCCUUCAAAUAUUACUAUUAGAUAGAAAUCUCCCCACCUUUAGCUGAAAGAGAUAAGGAGGUUUUGCACUGAGGAAACAAACAAACAAACAAGCAAACAACAUUCAUCAAUUUUUAAAAAAAGUAUGUAUUGAACUAUAGUCAGGUUCAAUGAGGAAAUGCAUUACAUUGUCACUAAACUGGCCUUAGUUGGAGAAAGAACACUGGCAGAUUAAUUAAAGUUAUUAGCGCUUAUGGUAGGAAACUGCAUGAUAUAUGUGAAAGAUCUUUUAGGGACUGGAAACACAGUGUAAAUUCAAACUCCUCCCAAAACUUUAACAAGGCUGGAUGAAAUGAAAGGAAUACUGUGAUUUCUACAAUUGACAACAGUGUCAGGCAUGCAGGAAACAAACAAAACCUUUUGAUGAAGGAAAAGUAACUUCUGGACAAAGUAUAAUUGGUUACAGGUAAACAGAUAUGUCAUCCAGGCAGAUAUGACAGUUUAUAGGAAAAAUAUAAUGUUAUGAUCUAAAAAAUGCAAGCCACAAACCUAUUGCCUGGGCAAUAAUUAGCCUGAAGUUGGGCUACUAAGGAGCUGGCUAAGCAGCAGUGAUAACACCAGAUACUGGAAGAAACUUCUGUGAUCAGAAACCAAUACAACUAGUGAACAAUUCACAGUAUUUCUAAAUCCGGGCACCAAGGAAGUUGUUUGGUUAGUCAUGAUGGAAGCCAGGAACAAAUAGAUCUCAAAUGUGUGAUAAUAAUUAUCAAGCGGAAUGUCUAGAAUAUUAUAGUGAGUGCCAAGAUUUCCAUCUAAGACAUUACCAACAUAGCAACUGAGGCAUGAAUUACAGGUUUUACACAAAAAAAGCAUUAUAAGAAUAAUACAUAUAAUAUAUUAACAGUUCAAAAGUGAAACAAACAUUUAUGAAUGGGCUACUCAGAUUUAAAAUAAAAUAUUGCCUGUUCAUUGAAUGCUUUCUGGAUUUUACUUUCUAAUUGUAUACCUCUCUUUCUUUCUUAAGAUAACUACUAUCAUAUAUU